GAACAGCACCAAAGAGGCAACACGGACGACUGGAGAAAGUUGGACCUAACGGCAGCAACUAGCAUCACUGGACUUACAUUGUAUGCAGAGUUUCAGCGGAUUACAAAUCAGAACCUGCCCAAUACAUUCUACGCUGAACUUGACCGCCAUCUUCCUCGUCUGAUGACCUUAUUCAGCCAGGGCAUCAAAAACUGGGAAGACAGCAGAUGCCCUGGUUGAAAUUCUAAGAAUUCACAAUGAACAGGAAAUCCAUGAUAUCCACACCAAGUGCACUACCGUUCUCCCUGCCCUUCCUGUCUAUCUGCAUGAGGAUGUCUCUGGAUUUUUCAGAACCUGCACUGACGAAUCUGAUGAGUUGGAGCUUGAUGGUGUUGAAGUGGCCCUCUUCACUGUCAUCAGUGACCAUCACACAACAAGUCCAGUUCACUACCAACCUGUGAAAAUCUCUGUCGUCAUUGAAAGUGAUGCCGUGUUCAGUCUCCCCAGAUUUGGUGAAGCCUUCCUAGUAAUGUUU